rnacentral:telomerase_RNA from 1 species
UCGCAUGGCGCCUCCCCCACAGUUCUCCGAUUCCCGUUUUCCGAAAGGAAUGUCUUUGGACCCCGCGGUAGGUCUCGAAACCCACACGACGCGUCGCUUUCCGGGGUCAAUGGGACCUAAUGUUUAGCCGCGUGUGGAUCGUCGUGUGAGGGUGGCUAGCUGGCUAGCUUGCGGGGCCUGCUGCUGGGAAUGGUGUUUCGGAACUUAACCCUAAGCUAUCACUUGGUUCUAGUCUUGCGCUCAUAGUCGUCUAAAUCGGCCUUCUAGACUUCUGGUUGUCUAUGCAAAGCUGCGCUGCUGAAAAGCAGGGUAUGCUGAGCUGGCUUCUGGCAGUGGAAGGGCCGUAGGACAUUCCAGUCGUCUUUGGCGUGCGAGGGUCUUUUGCCAUGAGUCGUCCGGUAAGAACUCCUGGUCUGGAGUCGCUCGUCGGCACUGUUCCGCUGGAACUUGUACUCUGGUCAUAUGGAUCGUGUUGUGGUGUUCGUCAAAGCUGGUGGGUCGGAAGUUACUUAUGUUGGCUGCUUACUGCUUGUUGGGCAUGAUGACAGUCUUAUGACUGUAUCUGUGCGUCUGAGAAUCUGUGGGUAGAGCAUAACAUCGACUUCACACAGUCAAAGCAAAAGCAUUUCACUCUUCCAUUUGCCGUUGGCUUAUCGCCGGAAUCACUCUGCUUUAAUUGAGCUUAGUGAGCGAGAGCUAUUCGGUUACAACAGAAAUGUUCGAGCUUUGAUAUUCCACCCCAAUCGUCCUAUGUCUUGCUUUCGGUACCGCGAUCUCUUGUCACGCCCAACAUCUUGCAGUAGUCGGUGUGAAACCCGGCUCUUUUCCCAAGCAGUCACACAAAGUAUCUACUCCGUCCGUCCACUCUUCCAACUCAUAGCACCAUGUCACGGUACCCGCCAUCGACAUGCUCCUCGCGAGGUCCGACCAGGCGCAUUAGCUUCCUCUCGUGGGUCUUGUCCCACGAUGAUGGAAGACGCCAAACUUUUCAUCGAUCGCCCUUGUGGUAGUCGACGAUAUUUCCUCAUCUCUACCAGCGAUGGACUGAGAAGAGACGAAAGUGCGAUUUUUACCGACGUUUUUUGAUCGUACGCAUCUGCCCUCCUUGCUGCCUCUAGGUUCGACGGAGAGGAAUCAAAAACUAGUCUGCGUUGGCAAUGCGUUCAACAGAGAGAGCUUCUUUGUGGUUGGUUUCGAUGGGGACGUUAUGAUCAGGGUCGCCGAUGUCGAGAAGCAAAUACGUUGAUGACAGUCCUGAUUCCCAUGAAAGCUAAUGACUAGUCUUGUUGGGUUGAGAUGUCGAGGUUAUUGAGCAUGGAUUGCUUCGCCUCGCGAGCUGCGAAGACCGGGACCCAUCUAGAGUUGGAGUCAAAGCUUAGUGCUUGUCCGGCCUUU